rnacentral:rRNA from 1 species
CCCUUAGAUGUUCUGGGCUGCACGCGUGCUACAAUGGCGUUUCCAGCAAGUCUGCGAACCCGAGAGGGCCAGCGGAUCUUCGAAUUGGCGUCGUGAUCGGGACAGUCGAUUGCAAUUAUUUGACUCAAACGAGGAAUUCCUUGUAAUCGCGAUUCAUCAUAUCGCGCUGAAUACGUCCCUGCCCUUUUUACACACCGCCCGUCGCUCCUACCGAUUGAGCGAUCCGGUAAAUGUUUUGGAUUGGUGCCGGGGCGGCUAGCUGCCGGUCGCUACGAAAUUUUGUGAACCUUAUCGCUUAGAGGAAGGAAAAGUCGUAACA